AAAACUUUGAAAACCAACUUCUGACGGUUUAGCAUGGCUAUCGUCAAAUACGUCCUUUAGUUACCGCGAUACACUUCAAGUACCGUUUUGAAUCAAUUGAACGAGUCACAGCGUUUUUCUUUGACGGUUUGGCGAUUACGAGCAGAGUGACAGGAAUUGGGAACCUGUAAUUUCUCUCUUGUAAGAAAGUAACAAAUUUGACGAAUUUUACAAAAUCGAAGGAACGAAGAUACCACUACGAUCGAGUCAUUCAAAGUCGAAAUUAAACGAGGAAAUUGAUCGUUUGAUUGCAUCAUCGUACCGCUUCGCAUACACCGAUGGGAAAUCCUUCCAUACUCAAAUACCAAGAUCGUGGAAUACAAAUAGCCGCGACGUCGACGUAGUGAAUAACAUAGUCGGCUGCGAACACCAAGAGUCCGGGUGGAUUCGAUUGCCUGGCACGCCAUAGUCUGUAUCGUAUUUUCCACGAUAAAUACUACGUACAUACCAUUAUUACACGAUACGAUAAUAAUAACCUGCUGAACUAAUGCAAAAUCACGAAAGUGAUUGAGUUAAGAUAUAGAACAGUCCUGACAAAUUAGUAAAAAAAUGCAACUAACCACGGAGGCAACUUAUUGAAGAGACAAGUAACAUAAUUCAUUUACGUUAGUAGCAACAACAGCAAAGUUUGCCAUAGUUAGAUUUGUAAUAUAUUUCUGAACGUAGUAAAAAAGAAAGAAAUAAUAAAGAUAGAGCUAAAUCUACUUAGAGUAAGUUUUGCUGUUGUGGCUUUUCUGCUAAAUUAUGUUAAUAAAAAAGAACAAAAUAUUACAAUAUAUUAUAAGUAAAUGUUAUUUUUUCAUUUCUAGAUAUAUUGCUUACAGAACAUUCCUUUUAGGUUGAUGUAUAUGUGGAACGAAUAUCGCAUGACUUUGUCAUACUGUCCAUUCAUUUCGGUAGCACCUGCUACACAAAAAUCUUACUGUUUACUGUUUCCAUUGCAUUUGUAACUUCUCUUUUUAUAAAUCCAGCAAUCUUCAUGUUUUUACCUUCAUGUUUUUUUAUUACUGAUAUUGACAAUACCACUAUCAAUAUCAACUAUCAAUAUCUAUCUAUUAUCACUAUCACUAUCAAUAUUGACAAUAUCAAUAUCAACUAAUUUCGUUGUUUAUCGGUUAAUGAAUUGUACUGCUCUAAAAUGUUAUAAAUUACGCUCUUUCUCUCUUUCUACAUCUACGACUAAUAACAUUAAGAAGUUGUAACGUUAAAUAUUACAUAAACCUCGGUGAAAGAUGAAAGCGAUUUGAAAUCUAUGAAAGUUGAUAGUAAAAGUAGCU
rnacentral:misc_RNA from 1 species